rnacentral:rRNA from 1 species
CCUACGGGAGGCAGCAGUGAGGAAUAUUGGUCAAUGGACGCAAGUCUGAACCAGCCAUGCCGCGUGCAGGAAGACGGCUCUAUGAGUUGUAAACUGCUUUUGUACGAGGGUAAACGCAGAUACGCGUAUCUGUCUGAAAGUAUCGUACGAAUAAGGAUCGGCUAACUCCGUGCCAGCAGCCGCGGUAAUACGGAGGAUUCAAGCGUUAUCCGGAUUUAUUGGGGUUAAAGGGUGCGUAGGCGGUCGUAUAAGUUAGCGGUUAAAUCCCGAGGCUCAACUUCGGAAUUGCCUGUGAUACUGUUCGGCUAGAGUGUAGUAGCGGUAGGCGGAAUGUGUGGUGUAGCGGUGAAAUGCUUAGAGAUCAUACAGAACACCGAUUGCGAAGGCAGCUUACCAAUCUAUAUCUGACGUUGAGGCACGAAAGCGUGGGGAGCAAACAGGAUUAGAUACCCUUGUAGUC